rnacentral:lncRNA from 1 species
CAACUCCUUCCCCUAAGGGAAACUGGGAAUUCUGGCCUUGGCCCUGCCUGAAUGACCAUGGCAACAAGCCUUUUAUCCUUAAGGCCCCCAGUCUCCGUUUCCUCAACUGUAAAAUGGGCUCCUGAUUACUCCGUCCCUAUCAUCACGAAGAGGACUAAACUUAGAGCGAACCAGAGAGUCGUUUAUAAAUUGCAAAGCUCUGGGCAAAAGCUGGCUGGGUCUUAUAUUUUACCUGAGUCCAGGAUUUGCUGAGUGUACCUCUUCAAAGUCCCCUUAGAAUCCUACCUCCUUCAGGGCUCUCGGUCCUCAUUUUGUCCUCUCUAAAAGCAAUACCAAUACCUCCCUGCAGGA